ensembl:misc_RNA Y_RNA Y RNA
AGCUCCUCUGAAGGGAGUGAGUUAUUUCAAUUAAUUGUUCACAGUCAGUUACAGAUAGAAUUUCUUGUUCUACUUCCCCCACCACCUUACUACUGCAGUUGACUAGUCUUUU